CACGCUGUUACCCCCAGACAAACAUCGCGUAACAAAAGCCGGGUUCAUCGGUAACGGGAACCCG
rnacentral:sRNA from 1 species